UGACAACGGAUUUGCGUAUUACAGCGCGG
rnacentral:sRNA from 1 species